rnacentral:ncRNA from 1 species
UUGAGCUGUAUGAUGGGAAACUAUCACGUACAGUUCUUAGGGGGCUAAGGGCUGUGAAGCCCUUAGCUACUCGGU